GUCGAGAAUCUUCCGCAAUGGACGCAAGUCUGACGGAGCGACGCCGCGUGCGGGAUGAAGGUCUUUGGAUUGUAAACCGCUGUCACGCGUUAUGAAUGCGCACGACCCAACACGUCGUGCGUUGACAAAGGCGCGAGAGGAAGCCACGGCUAACUCUGUGCCAGCAGCCGCGGUAAUACAGAGGUGGCAAGCGUUGCUCGGUGUCACUGGGCUUAAAGGGUGCGUAGGCGGCAUGGUACGGCUCGGGUGAAAUCCCUCGGCCCAACCGAGGAAUUGCAAGGGCGACGGCCAUGCUUGGCUGCAUCAGGGGAAGAUGGAACUCCCGGUGGAGCGGUGAAAUGCGUAGAUAUCGGGAGGAACGCCGGUGGCGAAAGCGAUCUUCUGGGGUGCAAGCGACGCUGAGGCACGAAAGCUAGGGGAGCAAACGGGAUUAGAAACCCCGGUAGUCC
rnacentral:rRNA from 1 species